CUAAUCCUCAGGAGGUUUCACAGGGCAAGGAGAGGGAGAAAGGAAAUGGGGCCUGGCUUCCUCUUUUCCUCUCAGCUGCUAAAAACCCAGCUGACAAAUGUUUAAGAACGGGACUUUUACAGAGACGUGCUGUGGAUGGCACUUUCCAGAAUUAAACAGGUACCCGGGAUCCAACUACCAAGAACAUGGUCCUUGCAAUUCGACAGGAAGGUGUUGUGCAUAGGAAGUCAAACCCAUGGCCAGAAGUGUAGUGUAUUAUCACUAAAUCACCACCGGCUUUCUUAGAAUAUUCCAGCAAGAAACCAUUUGUCAUUUUCACACACACACAGAGUCAGAGCUCUGACCACACACAGCAGGAGACACAUUUCUUUUUUUUGGCUUCAAGGGAAGAUAAAAAUACAUUUCACAUAAGACAUUUGCAAAAGAUCAGAGAAAAAUUCAUGAAGAGAGAGAGACCAGUGCGGGCCACAAGAGGCGGAAUCAGAUUUCCUCCCAUGGCCUCCCCACCCCUCUGAGACAGAACCUGGGCAUCAGGAGCACAGAGCACUUCUGCUGCAGACAUCCUCCAUGAAUUUGUAGGAAUUGAAUGUUAGAAUCCAUCCUUGCUUGCUGUUCCUCCCACGGAUACCAACAGACAGCCCACUGGGAUGCUGUGAUUCCCAGGCUAGCCCUCUUGCUAGUGCCACCACUCUGAGGGGUACCGCACUCUGCUCUCCACCCCAUCCUCCGUGUCCUCUCAGAAAGCCAGGCUGUGAACCUUCCUCAUCCUCUGCUUCUCUUCAGGGACUCAGUCAUGCUAUCUCUCUUUGGAGCCCCAGCGAUGCUGAUGGCUGUCUGUCUGCUCACGCUGUUAAUGACGCUAAUUUCUUAGCCUCUAGUAAUCCAUGUUACUGUCCUGUUGAACCACCCACCCCAUCCAAAACCUAACACCCAGUGCUGUAUGCGGGGAGCUAAGGGCUAAUCCCAGGGAAAAGAUAGAGUUACUGUCCUACCCUGCCUCUAGCUGGGACUUAGAAACAUUUCACUCCCAGAGAACCUAUAGCCCUAUAGACGUUUCUCAAUUUGCUGACCACCCCUAGGCCAGGAUCAUCACAUGCUGAACAAUUGUACUUCUUGAGAAAUCAAGUUCAAUUUAGUCUCUUGGGCAUUUAUAGAGAGUUUGUCUCUCUGCUUCAAAUGCCCACCAUUCUGCCUCAUCACCUGAGAACUGGCAUCGACCAAACCAAAGAAAACUAAAGGCCGUCCUCGUCCUGGGGUGUGAGACACUUUCCUAGCAUUCUCUGACACUGAAAAUAAAUCUUUUCUGCUCACUGCUUGCUAUCUAAGUGGGCACCAUGCUGCAUAUCCCCUGAUGGCUCUGGUCUUCCUCUCAGAGCUCAUUGUUACCGUCUUAGAGUUACUAUUGCAUCAAGGAACACCAUGACCCAAGUAAGUUGGGGAGGAAAGGGGUUUUUCGGCUUACACUUUCAUAGUGAUGUUCACCAUAGGAGAAGUCAGGGCCAGAACUCAAAUAUGGCAGGAACCUGGAGGCAGG
rnacentral:lncRNA from 1 species